rnacentral:piRNA from 1 species
UGAUUCUUGGUGAGAAGCAGGGAAAUCCAGU